rnacentral:pre_miRNA from 14 species
GUUUAGAAUCACUGAAAGACCCCCAGAGCGGGGAGACCCUCACUCAAGUCUCUGGAUGAUGCGACCACCCAAGAACUUGUGAGAGACU